UAUUAAUUAUCUAGGUACGUAAUAUUCGGCGAUUUUAAUUUGCAAUUGAUGUUCAUUUUCGUGUUUAGUUGACUUAUAUCCAAUUUGUCUGUGGUCGUUCUGUCGAGUUGGAAGUACAUCAUUUUUUUUAUUAUUUUUUUGUGCGCACUGCUCUGCUUAGGUAUGUAGGUAUAAUAUUCUUAUUUGCCUGAACUAUUGCAAUCGGUAAUACUAUGCCAGAAUAAUAUUAAAUCACGAAGGUACCUAAUGUGCAGUAUAGGGUGGAUCGGAUAAAAUCCAUAAUCAUCGAUUUCGCUGAAAUUGAAGUACAUAUGUUGGAGAUUCAGAGUUGAAAUAACCCCCAAAAAAAUUUCAGCCUCCCACGUGCCCCUACGGAGGAAUAGUGCCCCCCCCAGGCCCCAAAGUGAGGUCAUUUUGAAAAAAAACUGUUUUUUGAAUUUCAAAACAACCAGUUCUUAAGUUUUCCGAAAACGGGUAUAGGCCUAGCACUCAAAACUCCCAUUACAAAUAUACGAUAAUAGGUAUGUAUAAUUUGUACCUAUUAAUGAAGAUGAAGUUGAUCCUUGCUGUAAGUUUGCUGUUUAUCGAAUUAACUUCUUGUAACAGUGAAAAUUCAAGCGAAUUAAUACGAAAAAAAUAUGAUCCUGAUUAUAAAUUACCAAUCGAUGGUAUCAACAUUAUUAAACGUGCUUUUGAAACAGAUCGGUCGAUAAUAGCGGAAUCACUCUUGGAAAAUAAGAAAUCACUUACCCAAUAUCAGGGCUUACUUACCGAUAAAAACCGAUUAGCGUCUAUUAUAGAAGAACUAAGAGAACAUUCUAUGUUCACUUAUUUCCAUUGCGCUGCCCAACAUACGAAAACAUUUCUGGAAUUCUUUCAGAAUCCAAGCAAACAGGCGUUCUAUCAUCAUGAUCAUAUUAUUAGGGGAGUGUACAAUGACGACGUGGGUAGCGAGGAGUGCAAAGUACAAAUUCCAAAACUGUAUUACGAAAAAAUAAACGAUAUUUUCGCUACAGAUUUUCCCGCCGACUUGGAUUUGGCCGAUAAACAUUUUUGUCUAUGGUACUACUUCAUUACGGAGACAGAAAGUAAAUACGUAUCACGCUUGAACAACUAUCUCAACUCUUACCUUGAACAACAUGCGGCUGAAUACCACAAUAUAACCACACUCCAGAUACAAUUUUGCGCGUCGCUUGUACGGUUGAACCUAAUGGUCGAUUACAUUCUGCAUAAGCUUUUACCCGUAAUACGACCUUCUCGUACCACCAUCACAUCUUCACAAGUGCUUUUUCCCACCACCCCCCUUCCGGAAAAAACGUACGUGAAUUUACGACAUUUCUAUUCGAAAAUUGGCCGACGUAUGACUUUCAAUUAGAAGACCUAAAUUUUCUUAAUAUUGCAAUCAGCUGCAUUUUAGAAAACACUCCGCCAGACCAACUAUUAAAAUAUGUAGAAGUUGAAAACUUCAAAAAUGGAAACCAGACCGUACUUAUACCCCUUUUUAAUUACUGUCUGAAAGAGAAAUUCGAUUACACCACAGCAGUUGCAUUCUCCCCAGUGACCAAAUCAAUUAAAUCUGUUCCCUCGUAAUUAUACUUAUAGUUGAUAUGUUAGAAUAUAUAUCUUCUACAAAAAUUGUAAUGUAUAAAAAUGUAUCCACAGGA